rnacentral:lncRNA from 1 species
AAUCACUUUGAGUUAAUGCCAUUUGGUAGUGGAAGAAGAAUGUGCCCUGGAAUUUCGUUAGCCCUUCAAGUUUUGCCCUUUGUAAUUGCAAAAUUGCUGCAGGGUUUUAACAUGAAGAGGCCUUCAGAUGAACCAAUUGAUAUGAGUGAGAGCUUUGGAUUGACCGUACUCAAAGCUUCUCCACUCGAAGUUCUCCUUGCUCCGCGCUUGGCUCCCGAUCUUUAUGAAUGAAAUGAUAGACAAAACUUGUGCCUCAUGCCACUGUUGUUUACUACAAGUUUGUAAUAUUGUAAUGCAGAUAAUAACAGAACUUAAAAAUUCCUUCAUUUGAAAUGCGAUUGUAAAAGUAUUUUACAAGUCCAUCAAGUUUUGGUGGUGAAUAAUAAUAAGAUUGCUCAACUGCCACAGGCCUUGGCAUUAGAACUCUUGUGCUACAACUACUCCCUUUUGUGCUUGGGCAAUUAUUGGCAAGAUAUCAAAAAGAGAGUCGUAGUUGAUUUACUCGAUAUCAAAUGUUGCUCAAAAUAUAAAUGAGAAAUUAGUUCGAGAACUUGAUCAUAAACUUUAGUGUACAUAGUAAUUUGAAUCUACAAUUUUAUGUUAAAAUAUAUGAUCAACGCAUUUAAUAAUUUAACAUACUAUUAAAGAGAUUGAACAUGUUUUUAUUUUUUUUAGUUACGUCUAACCUAGUGAGCAAAAUAUUAUGUACCUAGUUGUUGAGGCCACAGUAUUCAACUCUCGUACAUACAUGUUAGGCAUGUGUAUGUAUAUAUUCACUUAAAAUUUGUCUUCAUUAUAAUGAUUUCUUAAUUUGUACCUUGUGAGAAUCUUUUAGGGUUGGUAGUGAUGAUACCACAUGGGCAAAAAUUCAUCGUACCUCUCAAAAAGGCCAGGUUGUACUAGUGAGUUGGACAACAUGUGAUAUCUAACGAGGAAAUCAUGAAUAUGAUUUUCCACUACUACUAUAUUUUUCCAAUAGAGUUUAACGCACUUAACGUAUUCACGUGAAUUUAUGCUCCUCUUUUAAAUUAUAUAUAACAGUGUUAUAUUUUUUAAAAAGUAUUUAAGCAUAGAUGUGUGAACUCACACUUGAAGUAUCAAAUAACGUCGUGUUAUAAUGAUUGGAUGCACUUCUCUAAUCAAAGUUAAAAAAAUUUGAAUCUUUUAUUUGACAAAAUAAAGUUAAACUGGAUGAAUUUAUAUCUUAAAUUUUCUUUUUCGUAGUACACCUAUCAUCUCAAAAUUCUGAAUAUGCCUCUGCUAGUAUAAUUUCAAAAAUUAUUGCAUAUAAGUGAAUCUACUAGAUGCGUACUCAAAGUAUAGCAAUCGAGUUUUCCAUUGGUUAAACACAAGAAGAAGAAAAAAGGAAGAAGCCAAGUUGUUUCAUGGAACAUACUUCGCGAAUUAUCAACUUUCCAUAGUAUAAAAUAGUAUUAAACAUAGUAAUAUUUCUAUUAGUUCUUUUUUUUAUUUAAUAUUUCUACUAGUUACAUUAGCACCGAUUAUAAAUAAUUAUUGUAAAUCACACUAGAUACACACUAUAUAUAUAUAUGGUGUGAUUUGAACGAAUUUGGGAAAUCAGACGAUACACAAGCGAAAUAUUAAAGUGAAGAGGGAUAUGAGAGAGAGGCGAAAGAGAUAUGCGCAUGGUGAGCAAGAUAAGAGGAAGACAGACUAGAUUUAUCUAUUAUACUAAAUACACGUGAUUCACACUAAUAUGUCUAAACAUUUGUACACAAUGAUUAGAGAGUAAUUCGAGUACAACUAUUUUCUCCAUUUCUCUCCAAUAUGGGCCUUUCCCAAAACGGCUAUGUUAUAUGCCUAGAGCUCUAUUGCCAACGACUUAAGCCGGCUUGCCAAGUCCUUAAUGUUGGUUAGUAAACCAAUCUUGGGCUACCUUCGUAUCGUUCAACAAAAUUUGAUGGGCUCCAAAUUUUACUGUGAAAAUUGGCGCAUAUUUGUCUGCCAUGAGCCCAAGUGUUUUGUGAGGCAGAUUAGAUCCAGUGAAAAGAUGAAGAUGGCCGAUAACAAGGAAAAACUACUUAACUACACAUAAAUUACUAUCAUAUAUACAAUUUUAUCUCUAGUUUCAAACAAUUACUUAUGUUAUUACUUUUUAUAUUUUAUAUCAUAUAUUUUAAAAGAUACAAUCAGAUAAACAAUUUUUUUUUAAAAAAUGAAUUGAUUAAUUAUCUUUGUAUUUAAACACCUAAAUAAUGGUGAAUUGACAUAGAAAAAUUCUCUCUCAUCAAUCAUAUCUCUCUUCCAAAUAAAAUUCUUAUUAUUCAUCCGUAUUGCAUCUGUCAUCCCACCCUCAUAUACAUCCGCCAAUAUUUUUUCUUUCUCUGAAAUUACAUUUAAAUAGCAAAUCAAAAUUGUUGAAUGCCUUGAAUUGGGCCCUUAAUUUUCUAUUGAUUCUGUAUGUUGGGCCCAAGCCUGUUAGGGCGUAGCUUAGCACUAUAUAUAGACGCUAUGGGAAACCCUAUUCUGUAAUUCUGUUCUUGCCUCUCCAUAAUAAAACUGUCCCCCUCUUUCCGUGGACGUAGCCAAUUUAUUGGUGAACCACGUAAACUGUUGUCUUGUUUUUCGCGUUUAUAUUUUCUCGUAUUAUCUCAAAUUCCGCACAACAAAUUGGUAUAAGAGCCUCUCGGUUAAUCGGUGUUCUUGGAGAAUUCGAGAUGUCUGCUUUGAACGUGAAAAUCGACAAAUUCACAGGGAGGAACAGUUUCAGUUUAUGGCAGAUCAAGAUGCGGGCUUUGUUGAAACAGCAAGGCUUCUGGGCGCCGUUGUCGAAAGACAAGAACGCCGUCGUUACUCCUGAGAUGGCGAUUCUGGAGGAAAAGGCGCACUCGACGAUCAUGCUGUGUCUCGCGGAUGACGUCAUCACGGAGGUCUCGGAUGAAGAGACUGCUGCUGGUCUGUGGUUGAAGCUGGAGAGUUUGUACAUGACAAAAUCUCUAACCAACAAGCUGCUUCUGAAACAACGUCUAUUCGAUUUACGAAUGGCUGAAGGUACACAACUCAGGGAACACUUAGAGCAAUUGAAUACUUUGUUAUUAGAAUUGCGUAAUAUCGAUGUGAAGAUCGAGGAUGAAGAUGCUGCCCUGAUUCUGUUAGUAUCUCUCCCAAUGUCGUUUGAGAAUUUUAUUCAAUCGUUCAUUGUUGGGAAAGAUACUGUGUCACUGGAAGAAGUCAGAUCGGCCCUUCAUAGCAGGGAAUUACGGCAUAAGGCUAACGGCACAAGUACGGACAUACAGCCUUCCGGUCUGUUCACCAGUAGCGGAAAGGGAAGGAAAAACGGCGGAAAGAAAAAUAAGCCGAUGUCGAAGGGUGCAAAGCCGGAUGAUGUUUGUAAUUACUGCAAGGAGAAGGGACAUUGGAAAUUUGAUUGUCCGAAGAAGAAGAAGCAAUCGGAAAAACAAUCAGUGUCUGCUGCUGUUGCUGAAGAAGACACCAAUUCUGAAGAAGAUAUUGCCCUAGUUGCGGAUGAGCACACUCAUCAUUCAGAUGUGUGGGUUCUCGAUUCUGGGGCAUCCUAUCACAUCUGUCCUAGGAGAGAGUGGUUCACGACUUAUGAGCAGGUAGACGGAGGCAGCAUCUCGAUGGCCAACAGUUCUGUCUGCAAGGUGGUUGGGACAGGCUCGAUCAAGAUAAGGACACAUGACGGUAGCUUCUGCACAUUGAACGAGGUCAGGCACGUUCCAUUGAUGAUGAAAAAUCUGAUAUCUCUCAGUCUUUUGGACAGCAAGGGAUUCAGCUGGUCGGGAAAAGAUGGAGUCUUGCGGGUCUGGAAGGGUUCAAAUUUGAUUCUGAAAGGUGUCAUGCGUGGUACUUUGUAUUUUCUACAAGGUUCCACGGUUACAGGUUCAGCCCAUGUUGCAUCGUCAGAAUUUCACCAGAAGGAUAUGACUAAGUUAUGGCACAUGAGACUUGGUCAUAUGGGUGAAAGAGGGAUGCAAAUUCUGUCAAAGGAGGAUUUACUUGCUGGUCAUAAGGUUAAGAGCCUAGAGUUUUGUGAACAUUGUGUUUUUGGAAAACUACAUCGCAACAAGUUUCCAAAGGCCAUUUAUAGAACAAAAGGCACACUUGAUUAUAUUCAUUCUGAUUGCUGGGGUCCAUGCCGUGUUGAGUCUUUGGGAGGUUGCAGAUUUUUUGUGUCCAUUAUUGAUGACUACUCAAGGAUGACUUGGGUGUACAUGAUGAAGCAUAAAAGUCAAGCCUUCCAGAAGUUCAAGGAGUGGAAAAUUUUGAUGGAAAAUCAAACAGGGAAGAAGAUCAAGAGGUUGCGAACUGAUAAUGGGCUGGAAUUCUGUUGGUCUGAAUUUGAUCAAUUCUGUAAGGAUGAAGGGAUUGCUCGACAUCGUACAGUCAGAAAUACACCACAGCAGAACGGUGUAGCUGAGCGGAUGAAUCAAACACUUCUGGAGAGAGCAAGGUGCAUGUUCUCUAAUGCUGGGCUAGAUAGAAGAUUCUGGGCAGAAGCGGUUAGUACAGCUUGCUACUUGAUUAACCGCGGACCACAUACAGGCAUACAGUGCAAGACACCUAUGGAGAUGUGGUCAGGAAAAGCUGCUGAUUAUUCAAAUCUGAAAGCUUUUGGUUGUACGGCUUACUAUCACGUCAGUGAAGGUAAGUUAGAACCAAGAGCUAAAAAGGGAGUAUUUGUGGGCUACGGAGAUGGAGUGAAAGGUUUCAGAAUCUGGUCUCCAGCAGAAAAGAGGGUUAUUAUGAGCAGGAACGUUGUCUUUGAUGAAAGUUCUCUGCUUAGAACCAUUGUGAAGCCUACAACUACGUCAGAAACUGGGAGUCUUGACAAACAGGUGGAGUUUCAAGUCAUUCAGAACGAGAGAGAUUUAAAGGAACCUGAAGAGGAGGAUCAAGAGCCACAGACAAAAACUGAUAUUCCAGAAUCUAUGCCAUCAGAUAUCCAUCAGAGUAUAGCUCAAGAUCGGCCAAGGAGGGUUGGAGUUCGGCCACCUACGAGGUAUGGUUUUGAGGACAUGGUGGGUUAUGCACUGCAGGUUGCUGAAGAGGUAGAUACAUCUGAGCCGUCUACUUACAAAGAAGCCAUUUUAAGUUCUGAUUCUGAAAAAUGGUUUGCCGCUAUGGGAGAUGAGAUGGAGUCCCUACACAAGAAUCAGACAUGGGAUCUGGUCAUACAGCCUUUGGGGAGAAAGAUUAUUACUUGCAAAUGGGUUUUCAAGAAGAAGGAAGGGAUAUCACCAGCAGAAGGAGUCAAGUAUAAAGCCAGGGUUGUUGCCAGAGGUUUCAACCAAAGAGAGGGAGUGGACUACAAUGAGAUCUUCUCACCAGUGGUCAGACAUACUUCCAUCCGAGUGUUACUAGCGAUAGUUGCACAUCAGAAUCUGGAGCUUGAACAACUUGAUGUGAAGACAGCGUUUCUACAUGGAGAGUUGGAGGAAGAGAUAUACAUGACUCAGCCGGAUGGUUUCCAAGUUCCAGGGAAGGAAAAUCACGUCUGCAAGUUGAAGAAGUCCUUAUAUGGACUUAAGCAGUCUCCAAGGCAGUGGUAUAAAAGGUUUGACAGCUAUAUGGUGAAGUUGGGCUAUACUCGGAGCUCAUAUGAUUGUUGUGUCUACUACAAUAGGCUCAAUGAUGAUUCAUUCAUCUAUCUGGUGCUUUAUGUAGAUGAUAUGUUGAUAGCUGCAAAGAAGAAGUAUGACAUUCAGAAGCUGAAGGGUUUACUUAGUGCUGAGUUUGAGAUGAAGGAUCUGGGAGCCGCUCGGAAGAUUUUAGGGAUGGAGAUCAUUAGAGACAGAGAGAGAAGGAAACUUUUCUUGUCACAGAGAAGCUACAUUCAGAAGGUCUUGGCGAGGUUUGAUAUGUCUUCAUCUAAGCCCAUUGAUACCCCCAGUGCUGCCAAUAUCCAUCUCACUGCCAUGUUCGCUCCACAGUCAGAAGAAGAGAAGGAGUAUAUGUCACGAGUCCCUUAUGCCAGUGCCGUAGGAAGUUUGAUGUAUGCUAUGGUCUGUACAAGGCCAGAUUUAGCACAUGCAGUCAGUGUAGUGAGCAGAUUCAUGGGACAACCAGGGAGAGAACAUUGGCAGGCUGUGAAGAGAAUUUUCCGGUACCUUAGAGGUACAUCUGACGUUGGUCUCAUUUAUGGAGGUAAUACUCAGUGCUUGGUUACUGGCUAUUCUGAUUCAGACUAUGCUGGAGAUGUUGACACAAGAAGAUCGAUGACUGGCUAUGUGUUUACCCUUGGAGGAUCUGUCGUCAGUUGGAAGGCAACUUUGCAACCUACAGUGACUUUGUCUACUACGGAAGCGGAGUACAUGGCCUUGACAGAGGCUGCAAAAGAAGGGAUUUGGUUGAAAGGGCUGGUUAGCGAUCUUGGUCUGCAUCAUGAUCAGGCUACGGUGUAUUGUGACAGUUUGAGCGCAAUUUGUCUAGCCAAGGAUCAAGUCCAUCAUGAGAGAACCAAGCAUAUUGACGUAAGGUAUCAUUUUCUGAGAAGUGAGAAGAGAAUCAAGGUGAAGAAAGUAGGAACUGCUGAUAAUCCUGCUGAUAUGUUUACAAAGCCGGUUCCACAGAGCAAGUUUCAACACUGUUUGGACUUGCUCAACAUCAGAAGCUGUUAAUUGCCCUGCGGGGCAACUCUGAGGAAGAUGGGGAGGCCUGACACUAUCAUAGUGCGUCUGAAGAAUCUGUUCGGAGAAUUCAAGUCAAGGUGGAGAUUUGUUGAAUGCCUUGAAUUGGGCCCUUAAUUUUCUAUUGAUUCUGUAUGUUGGGCCCAAGCCUGUUAGGGCGUAGCUUAGCACUAUAUAUAGACGCUAUGGGAAACCCUAUUCUGUAAUUCUAUUCUUGCCUCUCCAUAAUAAAACUGUCCCCCUCUUCCCGUGGACGUAGCCAAUUUAUUGGUGAACCACGUAAACUGUUGUCUUGUUUUUCGCAUUUAUAUUUUCUCGUAUUAUCUCAAAUUCCGCACAACAAAAAUUGUAUAUAGAAAUUUGUAACUUUGUUUCAUUAUUCUCAUGUAUCUAGAAUAAAGUUCUCCCUUUUCACAUAUAUAUGUGUAGAGUUCAUAUCAUUUUAAAUUUUAAUUUUAAAUCUUUUUACGAAUUAAGUCCUACAUAGUAUGAUCUUGGUACUAUUUAUUAUUUCAUGGGUGAUCAUUCCCAAAAUUGAAUGAUCCCAGUAAAUGUACAAUACAUUAACAUUAAUAUAUAAUAUGUUUAUGAUAUAUGAACUUUUUAGUUUUGUUUUCUCUCAAUAUUUUUUCAUUGCAGGGUUAAAUCUCUAUCCGUUAACAUUCAAGCUAAGAAUAGAUCCUAGCACUAAAAUGACCCAAUAUAAAUGGAAGAACUAUGUGAACUCUGAAGCUCUACUUACCCAAAUAGAUACAACACUAAACCUAGUUACACAUCUAGUGCAAGAUGUUCUUUCUAACACAUCUUCUUAAGGAAACAAACCCAGAAAUUUAAAAAAGCAUGUAUCUUGAUUUUUUUUACUCGUAAGAUACACGUAUCUCAAUUUUUUAACUCUCGAAUACAUGGCAACUGGAAAAAAAAAAGACAUCCGUGGCUCAAGGAAAUUAGAGGGGGAAUACUUAAUUAGAUGACUGAUUAAUUAUGAUCAACAUUAUGUGAAUGUAUAUGAUGGAAAUAUAGCUAAAUUCCUUAAUCACUUUUUGUGAAAUAAUAUUUAUUUUGAUAAAGAGAAUAUGAAUAGUAAUUUUUCUAACUUCUACCCUUAUUUAGAAGGGACGGUUUAGAGGACUAACACUGCAUAAGAAAAUUGUACCAAAAGCAAAGUAAAUUGUACUACUUUUGCUCUGUCUGGCCCAUAUUUAUUGGCAAUAGUUGCUUUACAUCCACGUGUAAGAAAUUGGAAUCACCUCUGCUUUUGAAAUAAAUAAAUUGUCUCUCUUUGCAAACUAUAAACAUCUCUAUCACUUUCUCUUUUUAUCUUGAAAUGGGUGAGUUCUUUUUGUCCCAUGUAUUAUAUGUGAUAAUUGUAAAAUGUCUAUUUUUAUCCUUCAAUUCCUAAUUUAUUUCCAGUUCUUUUUGGUAUUUAUUGGAUAUUAUGAUUUUUAAUGCAUUGUUGUAAGAUAUUAUUCUUGCAUGUUACUAAUUCGGUUUGAUUUAAUCAGGGUUGUUCGAAAAUUGAUUUCUCCAUUUUUUUACUAGAUGGUGUGAUGUAGUACUGUAGCGCAUCUAGAGCUUUUUUGUGGGUUUUUGUUCUUUUAGAACUUGUCAAUUUUUUUUUCUAUUUGUGCAAGUUUGAGCUCCCUAUUUUGAAAGUUAAAUUUUUAUUUUGAAUUUUGAAUUUGACUUGAGAGUUGUAUUGUGAAUGGCUUAGGAAAAUAACAAAGAUAGCCUAUAUGUAGAGCAAUGAAACUCGAACGUGAAUUUGGGGAAACAACAAACGUCUAUUUCCAUCUUAAGAGUAGUUCCAUUUUUUUAAAAAAAAAUGAGAAAAAAUCAUGUGAAUGUAGAGUAACGCAUGUUUUUCUUUCCUCCUUUGAAUUGCUUCCCUUUCAUAUCAAUCUGCUAAUAUUGAUCCAUUUGACAACUAAUUUUAAUGUUUUCUUAUUUUUCUAGCAUAUGGAAAGAUGCAAGCACAAGGUGGAUAAGCUGAUAGGAAAAAACAUGUUCUCGGGAUCACUAGAACCCUUUGGGAUGCUUCAACCAAUAAUGAAAGCAUAUAGUUUUUCUCCACCGUAUUACAGUAACAAAAUUUUUUUUCAUAAGUUCCUUUUGGCUCAUUUGGUGUCGAAUGCACAAGCAGAGCAGAGAAGAACAAGGUAAACGUAAUGGUAGCACAAUGUAAUUAUAGAAAACUUCAGUAUUUAGGAUAGAAAGUCGACUGGUCCGUUAAAAGUUUUCUUAUUUUGCAUAAAUUACUUUAAGUGUUCUCAAUAGAGUUAUAGCGUGACAUGUGGAUGGAUUUUCCUAAAUUGUUAUUGCAUUCGUAUAUAAUUUUAUGCACUACUUUUGAAGUAUCCGACACGAAGAGUCCAAGCAACAUAGCAAGUAGAAAAAAGUGUCCCCGCAAAUGCAGCAAUAAGAAGAAAGGUCUUUGGUUAUCCAGGAGGUGACACUGUUGUUGUGAUAAACCCUGUUGUCGAAAUCAAAAUUCUUCGGAAGAGCCGAUUAAACACUCUUGAGCAAAAGAAAAGCAAAUACGACUGAAGAUUUUUACUUCCCUCUCUUUUACCAAUAAUGAAAGAUAUGAAUGCAUUCCCUUGCCUAGAUGAAAGGUAUAUCAAGUAAUAUCAUUAUAUAUAGUUAGAUUGAUGAUCUAUUAUCAGGUUGUUUAUGGAUGUUCAUGCAAAUCGAACAAUCUUCUUCUUGAUGUUGUGAUCCUGUGCAUUACAGUUUAGAUUACAUUUCAAUAUUGACAUUUUAAACUUGAAGUAUAGUUUAUACAGAACAACUCACAAUAACUCUAACUUAAAUAGCUUGAUUUCUGAAAAUACCAUAUUAACAAAAAUGACAAGCUUUAUUAAUAUUAAAAUGGAUGAAAGCUAAAAAAAUAAUUCAGACACACAUAUAGGUCAACUGGUGAUAUAUUAUUCCAUAUUUGCUUUUGUACUUUUUCACUAUAGUAAAUAUUUUUAUGAUGAUCGACAUGUCAACUUUUUGUCUACUUUGUAUUAAAUUGUUCAGGUUGUACAUUAGCUUGGAUAGUAGUAAAUUUAUCAUUUUUUAAUACAAUUAUCUACAACUCAUUUUAUUUGUACUUAAAUAGAUAGUAGUAACCAAUGAACUCAUAACGCUUAUCUUAAGAUUCCAUAUUCAGACCAUAAAAACUACAUAUCUAUUUUAUCACUCAUUGGUGGAAAGUCUAAAUCUAUAACUAUAUGAUAUUUCAUUCCAGGCAUUUUUGAUAAAAGCAAGCUGAGAAUAGAGUCAUAUUUGGUGAACAUUUCUUCAGCUGGACACUUAAAUCGGGGAUCGACUCUAAAACCUUUCCUGGGUACAUGUAUAGGGUGUCAAAGUUGAACUAGGAAGCAUCCGUACUAGCAUGUGACAUCUUCGACUUUACCCGUCUUUGGAGUCUAUUUGUAAGUCCAAAUUUAUGGAUGUUCAGAAAGAACUUGAUUGAUAAUAUCGUUUUUUCAGUUCAUAGCGUUGGUUUGAUAUUUGAGAUCUGUUUAUGUUGUAAAUGUGCAAAGUCUAAUCUUUUGAUUGUAAAAAAAAGGAUUAUAAUCUUAGGCUAUGAAAUUUAUACAUCACUUCCCUUGCGGUUAGUAUUUAUUUUUUAAUGCUCAAAUGUCCUCUUUAUUCAUGUUUUCUUUGUGAAUUCUAGCCUCAGGAGUAUCUAUCGGAUAAAAAUAGCAGUAACAACAAGUAAAGAGGAUUGAAGCAACAAUGUCUUUGACGAAAUUUUCCAGUGAAAGAAAGAUCACCAACAAGUUUGUUUAACUCUUUUUCUACAACUAUCUACUAUCAAGCUCAUCGCUUAGCAUGGACGUUAAUCAUCGAUAUUUCUUUUGUCAUGCUAUUCUCUACAUUAUGCUUCAUAUACAAAAGACAUAUGUCUUGAAUCGAAAAUGAACACUCAUUUAGUUGAAUUAAGAUACUGAAUGUUGUCACAAUUGUUUACUUGGUGUUUAAAUGAACUUUAUUUGAAGUAUCAUACCAUUAUUCAAUGGUAUUGAAAAAUUGAGGAUAAGUAUAACGUUUUAAUUAAAUUUUAGUUAAAAUUGUGAGUUUGAGUUGUAAUUUAUCCUAUCUGAAACUGCUUACUCUAGCAAUAUGUUGGUAUCUCAUAUUGAGAAGUACAUUGUUGCUAUUCCUGGCCCAGUUCACUAUAUUUUUAUGAAAUUCUUUGAUCUCUACAGGUUUAUUUGUUUUUUGCUAUGAAUAACUUUGGAUAUAUUGGUGCUACUCCUAGCCUGAUUCACUAUAUCUCUAAUUUUCUAUUGAAUAGUGAAAAUGUAGGUUUUGAAGUGAUUUACUAAUACAUUAUAUGUGUACAUUUUGAUUUUUUUUAGAAGAAAUCACAAUGGACAUUCUUUUGUUUGACCAACAUCUAAGAUUAUCAGUUUCAUGUGUUAUUAUAAACUGUCAAAUAUUUAAUCUAUUCAGUAGGUAACUUUCUGAUUUAGUCUGCUUAGUUCAAGUUUUAUGAAUUUGAUGAAAAAACAUUUGGAAUGAUUAGCAAUUAGUACUUUUCGAUCCUUGCUCACUUUAACCAUUAUAUAUCGUUAGUGAGGUAAGUAAUCGAAAAAACAAUCGAAUUCUAGAAACAGAACAGAUUAGAUCAUGGAAAAGGAUUGAUUAUAAAUUCUCUUAUUAUCAUUUCUUCAGGUAUAAUUUUACAUGGCUAAAGAUGAAAAUUGACCUUGAUAGGCUUUAAUAGAAACUUGUGUUGACUACUUCUGGCCUGUGGAAAGCAGAUAUGUACAAGAGUUGAAAAGUUAAUGUUUUUUUAAAUGAUAUGUUGUAAAUGCGGAAUGUUUCCAAUUACUUUUUUGUUGAUCAGGCGACAUCCGAAUUUGAACUGGGAAAAAAAGGAUUUGCAAUCCUCUUAGAGUCUUUUACCAUGUCUGCUCUUUACUUGAUCAUCUCUUUCAUUGAUACAUCGAGAUUACUUGAAUAAAUUAUUUCUGUAGUUUAUACUGCUAAAUUUAAAAUUUAUGGAGAUCGAACUUGCAAUGUUGGGCCUGUGCUCAGCACGGGCCAUGCCUCUCUAGUUAAAAAAAUAAAGGAUAGAAUUUAAAAUAAAGAGAUAUUAAAGUAUUCAUUUUCUAUUUUGUUUCUAAACGUAGAAAAUGAAAAAUAAAAUAAAGUUGAGUCGGGGAUGACCUUACCCUCUCUACGUCCACAUGCAACGCUAUCACCAUUUGCAAUGCAACUUGUCGUUUGUCUAAUGGAUAUUAUUAUUAUUUCCUUAUUAAGAGUUGUGCACAACUCUCCCAAAAAUAGGAGAGGAUUCGUAUAUCUUUUACACUUUGAAGUUAUGUCAAAAUGUCGAUGCUUUCGUAGAAUUUAAUACAAAAUUCAUGUGUUUGAGUCUUGAUGAAAAUUAAAAAUAAGAAUAUUUUAUAUCAUUCGUUUUAAUUUUAAGGGAAAAUGUCCAAGUACCUCCUCAACCUAUACCCGAAAUUCCAGAGACAUACUUAUACUAUACUAAGGUCCUAUUACCCCUGAACUUAUUUUAUAUGUAAUAUUAUACCCUUUUUAGCCUACGUGGCACUAGUUCAAAAAAAAAGUCAACCAUCGUUGGGCCCACAAGAUAGUGCCACGUAAGCUAAAAAGGGUAAAAAAUUAUUAAUAAAAUAAGUUCAAGAGUAAUAAGACCUUAGUAUAGUAUAAGUGUGUCUCUGAUAUUUCGGGCAUAGGUUAAGAGGUACUUGGGCAUUAUCCCAAUUUUAAUGAAAAUAAAAACAAAUAAGAUAAAGAGUAUUUUAUAUGGAUGAGAAGAGCUCUCUAUAAGUUCCGAGUGUUUUCACUUAACCACGGUAGAGAAGAUGACUGACUGACAUAUUUUAUUACCCAUGGAUUUAUUUCUAAUUGUUGUUACAUUAGCUACCUCCUUUAUUCUACUUUUCAUUCUUCAUAAACAAUUUUACUCAGUUAAAAAGCAGAGUAGUAGUAGUAGAAAGGUACCUGAAGCUGGCGGAGCAUGGCCUAUUAUCGGCCAUCUCCACCUUCUCGGUGGAUCUGAAUCUGAUCACUUGCCUCACAAAAUGUUGGGCCGCUUGGCAGAUAAGUACGGGCCUAUUUUCGGAAUGAAGCUUGGAGUUCAUCAGGUUGUAGUUGUGAGUGAUCACAAAUUAGCAAAGGAGUGCUUCACAACUAACGAUUUAGCCCUAGCAGGUCGGCCUAAAUCAAUGGCUUCAGAGAUUAUAGGCUACAAACAUGCUAUGUUUGGACUUUGUUCUUACGGUCCGUACUGGAGAGAAACAAGGAAAAUUGCCACAAUUGAACUUUUCUCCGCUCGACGAAUCGAGAUGCUCAAACACAUCAGAGAAUUUGAGGUAAAAUCAGGUAUUAAAGAGAUUUAUAAUAAUUGGGAGAAGAAUAAUUUAAAUGGUGUUGUGAAGAUGGAGAUGAAGGAAUGGAUUGGGGAUUUAUUUAUGAACACUAUGGGGAAAAUAUUAUUCGGAAAAGGGCGAAGGAGUAACGAGGACGAAGGAAUAAAUAAAGCUCACAAAGCAAUUCGAAGAUUUUUCGAAUUGUUAGGAGUUUUUGUUGUGGCUGAUUUUUUACCUUAUUUAAGAUGGCUGGACAUUGGAGGCCAUGAGAAAGCGAUGAAGGAGGUUUCUAAAGAAAUGGACUCUGUUGUUGAAGAAUGGUUAACAGAGCACAAAACGAAGAGAGGAAUUAUUAAAUCUGGUGAAGAAGAAGAUUUCAUGGAUGUAAUGCUUUCCGUUUGUGAAGACAGAGAUCUACCUGGAGUUGAUGCCGAUACCGCUAUCAAAGCUACAUGUAUGGUACGUUACUUCUGAUCAAAUUACUCUAAAAUUGUAUGAUCACGUAUAUGGUUCCGAUUGUUGAAUUUGUCUUGUUUAGGCUCUGCUAUCGGCAGGCACAGACACAACGAUGGUAACUCUAACAUGGAUUUUAUCUCUACUACUCAACAACUAUCAAUCACUUCAAAAGGCUCAAGAUGAGCUAGACGCUCAUGUUGGCAAGAAUAGAUGGGUCCAAGAAUCCGAUAUAAAAACUUAGUUUAUUUUCAAGCUAUUGUUAAAGAAGCAUUACGUUUAUAUCCAGCUGGACCGCUCUCUUUACCACACGAGUCGAUGGAGGAUUGUACUAUCAGUGGGUAUGAUAUACCAAAAGGCACUCGCUUAUUAGUGAACAUAUGGAAGAUUCAGCGCGAUCCUAAUAUAUGGCCAAAUCCUCACGAGUUUAAGCCAGAGAGGUUCUUGUCGACCCACAAGGAUGUCGAUGUAAAGGGCAAUCACUUUGAGUUAAUGCCAUUUGGUAGUGGAAGAAGAAUGUGCCCUGGAAUUUCGUUGGCCCUUCAAGUUUUGCCCUUUGUAAUAGCAAUGUUGCUGCAGGGGUUUGACAUGAAGAGGCUUUUGGAUGAACCGAUUGAUAUGAGUGAGAGCUUUGGAUUGACCGUACUCAAAGCUUCUCCACUCGAAGUUCUCCUUGCUCCGCGCUUGGCUCCCGAUCUUUAUGAAUGAAAUGAUAGACAAAAUUUGUGCCUCAUGCCACUGUUGUUUACUAC